rnacentral:lncRNA from 1 species
GUAAAUCAAGGAAAGACAAAAAAUACUUUCCAUAACUGCUCAAUUACACGCUAUCAUCUCUCAUAUCAUCAUUAUUCCUUUCCAAAACCUUCAACUUCCUCUGAACUCUUUGCUGCGAUCUGCAAACACAAACCAUCAUUGCAAAUCAUCAAAAACUUCAAAAACUUCAACAAUUUCCGUGUGAAAAUGUCUCAAUCCUUCGGUUCCGCUCAGAUCAAAAACAAACUUGUUGAUGCUGUGAAAACAAGAUCAAAAUCUAAGAAGGAAGGAUCAACUGUUGUGGUCAAUGCGACACCCAUAUCAAGUAUCCCUGCUACUAGUUCGAAGAAGAAGAAGUCAGCAAAAUCCACUAAGAAAGUAAGUG